rnacentral:lncRNA from 1 species
CUAAUGUCCGUGCAAGCACAGUUUGCGAAUCAAGAAGGAAUAAGGAAUAAUAGUUUCUUAAGCAUAUAAACAGCCAAUAAGAAGAGCCACAGCUGCCGUAGCGCAUCUAAAAGGUAACAGUUUCAUGAAUCAAAGGACGACACGACAAACAUUGCAUUUA